GAAGAGUAGGUAGUAAGAGAGAAAGAGUUAUCAGAAAGAAAGAAAAGAAGAAAUGGAAGAGUAGAGAAGAGGAAAAGAGAAGAAAGAAGAAGAGAGAAAGAAGGAAGAAAGGCUUGGAGGAGAAAAGGAAAAGCUCAUCAUCACCAUUUUCUACUCAUCAUGCUCACCAACAUCAUCUUCUUCUUCUACUAGACAUUCUCAAGGCGGAAUUGAAUGCAGUACACUCAGACAAAAUGAUUCGGCAUAUAUUCUUAAUCAAUUUAGAUGCCACUCAUCAAAACAAGGCCACCAAUAUAAUAAAGUGUUUUCAAUAGGAAACAAAGAGAGUUUGAGGCUGGAGGGGGAAGUCGGUUAUGAUGAUCUUUACGACCAAAUCUUAGAGUUCUACCGUAGUAAAUACUGCGGAAAGGUGAUGAAGUUAGUAGUUAUAGGAGGAGAGCCUAUUCAAAUUCUUCAAGGUUGGGUUGAAAGUUUUUUCAACUCUAUUAAAAAGUGUGACGUGAAAAAGUUUCGAAAAAAAGUAUAUCCAACUGGGUUUCAAUGGUACCUUUAUCCAAUUCGGGUUCGACAGUGAGUUCAGGCAAAAAAUAGAAAAAGAAGGCUUCCAAAAAAGCAUUCAAUUUGGGAAUUCGGUAUUUUAUACGGUUUAAAUGAUCCCACCGGUGAUGAUAUACUGAUAGUUUCAUGGACUUUCCCUAUU